rfam:Bacterium TMED190 isolate TMED190 54317, whole genome shotgun sequence.
GGGGGCGCUUGGCUUCGACAGAAAAUAGGAAGCAUUUUGUUGCAUGUGCAGUACUCAGGUUAUCUGCAUAAUCUGCCUGAAAACAAACAAAUGCCAAUAACGGCAACAUUGCUUACGCUUAAAUAGUGUAAGUCGUUCUACUUAUACUUUGCUUGUCAGUUUAAGAUAGAGCGUAGAUUCGAUAAGCUAGUUUUUACAAAUGUCCUUUUUGUAAAACGAAAUUUUAAAGGACUGCUUUUAUUGUAAGAUUGUUUGAUAUCUGAAAUAAAUUAAGAUAAAAAUCAAACUAAACAUGUAGAAGUAAAAUGAAUCUUUUUUUUGGACGGGAGUUCGAUUCUCCCCGCCUCCACUU